GAUGAACGCUGGCGGCGUGCCUAAUACAUGCAAGUCGAGCGAACGGACGAGAAGCUUGCUUUUCUGAUGUUAGCGGCGGACGGGUGAGUAACACGUGGAUAACCUACCUAUAAGACUGGGAUAACUUCGGGAAACCGGAGCUAAUACCGUAUAAUAUUUUGAACCGCAUGGUUCAAAAGUGAAAGACGGUCUUGCUGUCACUUAUAGAUGGAUCCGCGCUGCAUUAGCUAGUUGGUAAGGUAACGGCUUACCAAGGCAACGAUGCAUAGCCGACCUGAGAGGGUGAUAGGCCACACUGGAGCUGGGACACGGUCCAGGGUCCUACGGGAGGCAGCAGUAGGGAAUCUUCCGCAAUGGGCGAGAGCCUGGCGGAACAACGCCACGUGAGUGAUGAAGGUCUUCGGAUCGUAAAACUCUGUUAUUAGGGAAGAACAUAUGUGUAAGUAACUGUGCACAUCUUGACGGUACCUAAUAAGAAAGCCACGGCUAACUACGUG
rnacentral:rRNA from 1 species